GGUCAAGAAGAGAAGCGCAAACGGUGGAUGCCUUGGCAGUAAGAGGCGAAGAAGGACGUGGAAUCCUGCGAAAAGCUAUGGGGAGCUGGAAACGAGCGUUGAGCCAUAGAUGUCCGAAUGGGGGAACCCGGCUGCAGCGAUGCGGUCAUUUGCAUUUGAAUACAUAGGAUGCAAAGGCGAACUCGGGGAACUGAAACAUCUAAGUACCCGAAGGAAAAGAAAUCAAGAGAGAUUCUCCAAGUAGCGGCGAGCGAACGGGGAGG
rnacentral:rRNA from 1 species